rnacentral:rRNA from 1 species
UACGGGGGGAGCAAGCGUUGUUCGGAUUUACUGGGCGUAAAGGGCGCGUAGGCGGUCAGCACAAGUCAGUUGUGAAAUCUCCGGGCUUAACUCGGAAAGGUCAACUGAUACUGUGCGACUAGAGUGCAGAAGGGGCAACUGGAAUUCUCGGUGUAGCGGUGAAAUGCGUAGAUAUCGAGAGGAACACCUGCAGCGAAGGCGGGUUGCUGGGCUGACACUGACGCUGAUGCGCGAAAGCCAGGGGAGCGAACGGG